AUUGAACGCUGGCGGCAUGCUUUACACAUGCAAGUCGAACGGCAGCGCGGGCUUCGGCCUGGCGGCGAGUGGCGAACGGGUGAGUAAUGCAUCGGAACGUGCCCAGUAGUGGGGGAUAGCCCGGCGAAAGCCGGAUUAAUACCGCAUACGACCUGAGGGUGAAAGCGGGGGACCGAAAGGCCUCGCGCUAUUGGAGCGGCCGAUGUCGGAUUAUGUAGUUGGGGGGGUAAAGGCUUCCCAAGGCGACGAUCCGUAGCUGGUCCGAGAGGACGACCAGCCACACUGGGAAUGAGACACGGCCCAGACUCCUACGGGAGGCAGCAGUGGGGAAUUUUGGACAAUGGGGGCAACCCUGAUCCAGCCAUGCCGCGUGCGGGAAGAAGGCCUUCGGGUUGUAAACCGCUUUUGUUCGGGAAGAAAUCCUCUGGGCUAAUACCCGGGGGGAUGACGGUACCGGAAGAAUAAGCACCGGCUAACUACGUG
rnacentral:rRNA from 1 species